GACGAACGCUGGCGGCGUGCUUAACACAUGCAAGUCGAACGGAAAGGCCCUGCUUUUGUGGGGUGCUCGAGUGGCGAACGGGUGAGUAACACGUGAGUAACCUGCCCUGGACUUUGGGAUAACUUCAGGAAACUGGGGCGAAUACCGGAUAGGAGCUCCUGCUGCAAGGUGUUGGGUGGAAAUUUUCGGCGGUUGGGGAUGGACUCGCGGCUUAUCAGCUUGUUGGUGGGGUAGUGGCUUACCAAGGCUUUGACGGGUAGCCGGCCUGAGAGGGUGACCGGCCACAUUGGGACUGGGAUACGGCCCAGACUCCUACGGGAGGCAGCAGUGGGGAAUAUUGCACAAUGGGCGGAAGCCUGAUGCAGCAACGCCGCGUGCGGGAUGACGGCCUUCGGGUUGUAAACCGCUUUCGCCUGUGACGAAGCGUGAGUGACGGUAAUGGGUAAAGAAGCACCGGCUAACUACGUG
rnacentral:rRNA from 1 species